GUGGCCACCAUUUGAGGAUGUAGCCCAUCUCUGCGGGGUGCAGCUGGAGUUGGUCCCCAAAGGUCCUGGAGGAAGAGAGGAGCCCCUGACAUGCCAUGAACAUCUCACACCUGAAGCCAAAGCAGAAGAGAAGU